UAAGGAAUAUUGGUCAAUGGACGCAAGUCUGAACCAGCCAUGCCGCGUGAAGGAUGAAGGUCCUCUGGAUUGUAAACUUCUUUUAUCUGGGACGAAAAAGGGGCAUUCUUGCUCAACUGACGGUACCAGAGGAAUAAGCACCGGCUAACUCCGUGCCAGCAGCCGCGGUAAUACGGAGGGUGCAAGCGUUAUCCGGAUUUACUGGGUUUAAAGGGUGCGUAGGUGGGCUUUUAAGUCAGUGGUGAAAUCUCCGGGCUUAACUCGGAAACUGCCAUUGAUACUAUUAGUCUUGAAUAUCCUGGAGGUAAGCGGAAUAUGUCAUGUAGCGGUGAAAUGCUUAGAUAUGACAUAGAACACCCAUUGCGAAGGCAGCUUACUACGGGAUUAUUGACACUGAGGCACGAAAGCGUGGGGAUCAAACA
rnacentral:rRNA from 1 species